rnacentral:rRNA from 1 species
GGGUAACGGGGUGUUAGGGCACGACACCGGAGAGGGAGCCUGAGAAACGGCUACCACAUCCAAGGAUGGCAGCAGGCGCGCAAAUUACCCAAUCCCGACACGGGGAGGUAGUGACAAUAAAUAACAAUACGGGGUUCUUUAGGAUCUCGUAAUUGGAAUGAGUACAAUUUAAAUCUCUUAACGAGGAACAAUUGGAGGGCAAGUCUGGUGCCAGCAGCCGCGGUAAUUCCAGCUCCAAUAGCGUAUAUUAAAGUUGUUGCAGUUAAAAAGCUCGUAGUUGAAUUUCGAGACCGGCUUACUGGUCGUGCUAUUGUACGUACUGGUAUAAUCGGUUUCUCCUUUCUGACGAACUAUAAUGCCAUUAAUUUGGUGUUUUAGGGAAUCAGGACUGUUACUUUGAAAAAAUUAGAGUGUUUAAAGCAGGCUCACGCUUGAAUACAUUAGCAUGGAAUAACGGAAUAGGACGUUUGAUUCUAUUUUGUUGGUUUCUAGGAUCGACGUAAUGAUUAAUAGGGAUAGUUGGGGGCAUUAGUAUUCAAUUGUCAGAGGUGAAAUUCUUGGAUUUAUUGAAGACUAACUACUGCGAAAGCAUUUGCCAAGGACGUUUUCAUUAAUCAAGAACGAAAGUUAGGGGAUCGAAGACGAUCAGAUACC